rnacentral:rRNA from 1 species
UACGUAGGGUGCGAGCGUUAAUCGGAAUUACUGGGCGUAAAGCGUGCGCAGGCGGCGCGUUAAGACAGGUGUGAAAGCCCCGAGCUUAACUUGGGAAUUGCGCUUGUGACUGGCGUGCUGGAGUGUGGCAGAGGGGAGGUGGAAUUCCACGUGUAGCAGUGAAAAUGCGUAGAGAUGUGGAGGAACACCGAUGGCGAAGGCAGCCUCCUGGGCCAGCACUGACGCUCAUGCACGAAAGCGUGGGGAGCAAACAGG